rnacentral:rRNA from 1 species
GUGAGUCGACCCCUAAGGCGAGGCCGAAAGGCGUAGUCGAUGGGAAACAGGUUAAUAUUCCUGUACUUGGUGUUACUGCGAAGGGGGGACGGAGAAGGCUAUGUUAGCCGGGCGACGGUUGUCCCGGUUUAAGCAUGUAGGCUGAUUAUCCAGGCAAAUCCGGAUAAUCAAGGCUGAGGUGUGAUGACGAGGCACUACGGUGCUGAAGUAACAAAUGCCCUGCUUCCAGGAAAAGCCUCUAAGCAUCAGGUAACAUCAAAUCGUACCCCAAACCGACACAGGUGGUCAGGUAGAGAAUACCAAGGCGCUUGAGAGAACUCGGGUGAAGGAACUAGGCAAAAUGGUGCCGUAACUUCGGGAGAAGGCACGCUGGUGUGUAGGUGAAG